GCCGCUCGUCGCCGUUGUUGCCGCUCGUCGUUUCGUAGCGUAGCGUCGAGUCCUCGUGAAAAUCUACGAUGAAACAUCUGCCGGCAAUUUGAGAAGUUGAAAGGACGAGGCAACCGACCAGUAUCGACAGCAGUUAUCAGAUGACAGCUUCCACAGAGACGGAAUAUUCGGGGAGAUAAUCGGACGAUUCUCGGCGAAAAUUCUUCUACCGCCUGCGUCCCUGGAAAAACGAGACAGCCGCCGGUCAUCCUGGUUGCGGUGUUGGCUGCCGGGUCGACCGGACCCCGACGUCGACGGUGUAGCCUGUGCGUGCACUUGCCGCGAGGGAAAGGUGGAUGGCCGCGACCUUGAUACGCGUGGUUCUCGCGUGCCCGAAGCCUCACGAAGCACCACGGGGACGGCCGAGCCCGAAGAGGAUCAACGUCUCCACGUCUACGUACGUGGUUGUUAAAUUAUCUCUCCUCCCGAGAGCUCUCCUCUCGGGGAGCCUCUCCAGCCUCCCAUCCCCUUCUCUGCGCGUCGCGCGCGUCUCAUCUCCUUUUUUCUUCCUCGCAAAGCCGCGCACUUACACACGUGCAUGGUCGAUACGUGUGUGCGAGAUCACACGGAAGCUGGAACGACUAUCGCUACUCUCCUCGGCUCUUGAGCUCCGCUGCUAGUUCUACGACGAGACCGGUAUCUCGACUUAACCGACCAGUCAUCCGAGGCAACCAGUGUCUCUCAACGUCGUCCCCGACGUGGCCCGAUAAUAUCGCUCGGAUGGUCCGUAAAUUGCAAUUUUAGGCGCACGUUUAAGCCUGAGAAUUAUAUGCUGUUGACAAGGCGAUGUUUAUCGGUUUAUUGAUUCUCAUAUUGGUACCUUAUCUCUUUUUCAAUCGUGACAAACUUUCUGUGAAACUCAAGCAUGCGAGAUUAUAUGCUUUGCAUUUUUGAUAAGAAUAUGAUAUUCAAUUUAUUUUAUAGACAUGGGAUAUAAAUAUGGGAUCUAAAUAUGGGAUAUGAAUAUCUUGUAGUUGAACAAUCAGUUUCUGAAAGAUUAUAUCUAUGUAUCUGGAAGAGAUGUUUA